rnacentral:rRNA from 1 species
GAUGAACGCUGGCGGCGUGCCUAAUACAUGCAAGUCGAGCGAACAGAUGAGGAGCUUGCUCCUCUGACGUUAGCGGCGGACGGGUGAGUAACACGUGGAUAACCUACCUAUAAGACUGGGAUAACUUCGGGAAACCGGAGCUAAUACCGGAUAAUAUAUUGAACCGCAUGGUUCAAUAGUGAAAGACGGUUUUGCUGUCACUUAUAGAUGGAUCCGCGCCGCAUUAGCUAGUUGGUAAGGUAACGGCUUACCAAGGCAACGAUGCGUAGCCGACCUGAGAGGGUGGUCGGCCACACUGGAACUGAGACACGGUCCAGACUCCUACGGGAGGCAGCAGUAGGGAAUCUUCCGCAAUGGGCGAAAGCCUGACGGAGCAACGCCGCGUGAGUGAUGAAGGUCUUCGGAUCGUAAAACUCUGUUAUUAGGGAAGAACAAAUGUGUAAGUAACUAUGCACGUCUUGACGGUACCUAAUCAGAAAGCCACGGCUAACUACG